rnacentral:rRNA from 1 species
GACGAACGCUGGCGGCGUGCUUAACACAUGCAAGUCGAACGGAAAGGCCCUGCUUUUGUGGGGUGCUCGAGUGGCGAACGGGUGAGUAACACGUGAGUAACCUGCCCUUGACUUUGGGAUAACUUCAGGAAACUGGGGCUAAUACCGGAUAGGAGCUCCUGCUGCAUGGUGGGGGUUGGAAAGUUUCGGCGGUUGGGGAUGGAAUCGCGGCUUAUCAGCUUGUUGGUGGGGUAGUGGCUUACCAAGGCUUUGACGGGUAGCCGGCCUGAGAGGGUGACCGGCCACAUUGGGACUGAGAGACGGCCCAGACUCCUACGGGAGGCAGCAGUGGGGAAUAUUGCACAAUGGGCGGAAGCCUGAUGCAGCAACGCCGCGUGCGGGAUGACGGCCUUCGGGUUGUAAACCGCUUUCGCCUGUGACGAAGCGUGGGUGACGGUAAUGGGUAAAGAAGCACCGGCUAACUACGUG